ACAUAGCAUGUUAUUAAUAUGUAGUACACAUAUGUAGUUAAUACUACCUUUACGAUUUAGUCUUUCCUUUCUAAUCGUCAUUGUGCACAACAUGUCCAUCGCGUGACCAUGAAAACUGUAAAAUAUUCGGAACGUUGAAAAUAAUACAGCUACAAAUAAAAAAUCGGUUGUCUGUAAAGUCGGCUUACUGACGAUAGUUGAACGUGACAACGUCAUAAGAAAAUACUGACGGAAAGGUUUCAUUUUUCAAAAGAAAAUUUUAAUUUUAUUUGUUUGAUAGAUAUUUUGUGUGGAUAUAGAGAAGGAGGUAAAUGGAAAUCACUAUCGCUCACUCAAGUAGGAGAGAGACAGAUGUCGAACGCUGCCGAAAGCGGAGGCCGAUUGUGCCUCUUUGUCGCUCGUUGCGCGCUCUCGCUUGCACUUCAAGCCUUAAAUGGAACGCCUCAGAACGAGAAUGGUAGCUUCCACUUCUGGUAUAAAUCGUUGGGAAACAUAUUCAGAGCAAUGGGAGAAAUGAGGAAACAUAUUUCUUCAAUAUCGGAGAGGUGUUACGCUGCAGAAACGAGAAUUUAUGUUCAAAAUAAACUUUGUAAAUAAA